rnacentral:rRNA from 1 species
UACGUAGGGUGCAAGCGUUGUCCGGAAUUAUUGGGCGUAAAGAGCUCGUAGGCGGCUUGUCACGUCGACUGUGAAAACCCGGGGCUCAACUCCGGGCCUGCAGUCGAUACGGGCUGGCUUGAGUGCGGUAGGGGAGACUGGAAUUCCUGGUGUAGCGGUGAAAUGCGCAGAUAUCAGGAGGAACACCGGUGGCGAAGGCGGUUCUCUGGGCAGUACCUGACGCUGAGGAGCGAAAGUGUGGGGAGCGAACAGG